AUUGAACGCUGGCGGCAUGCCUUACACAUGCAAGUCGAACGGUAACAGGUCUUCGGAUGCUGACGAGUGGCGAACGGGUGAGUAAUACAUCGGAACGUGCCUAGUAGUGGGGGAUAACUACUCGAAAGAGUGGCUAAUACCGCAUGCGAUCUACGGAUGAAAGCAGGGGAUCGAAAGGACUUGGGCUUAUAGAGCGGCCGAUGGCAGAUUAGGUAGUGGGUGGGAUAAAAGCUUACCAAGCCGACGAUCUGUAGCUGGUCUGAGAGGACGAUCAGCCACACUUGGACUGAGACACGGCCCAGACUCCUACGGGGGGCAGCAGUGGGGAAUUUUGGACAAUGGGCGCAAGCCUUAUCCAGCAAUGCCGCGUCCGGGAUGAAGGCCUUCGGGUUGUAAACUGCUUUUGUACGGAACGAAAACCCCUGUGUUAAUACCCUGGGGUCAUGACGGUACCGUAAGAAUAAGCACCGGCUAACUACGUGCCAGCAGCCGCCGUAAUAC
rnacentral:rRNA from 1 species